CACAAGCAGCGGAGCGUGUGGUUUAAUUCGAUGCUACACGAAGAACCUUACCAGGGUUUGACAUGCGAGUGGUAGGAAACUGAAAGGGACCGACCUUCGGGGAGCUUGCACAGGUGCUGCAUGGCUGUCGUCAGCUCGUGUCGUGAGAUGUUCGGUUAAGUCCGCUAACGAGCGCAACCCUCACUGUGUGUUAUAUGUGUCACACGGGACUGCCGGUUUUAAGCCGGAGGAAGGUGGGAUGACGUCAAGUCAGCAUGGCCUUUAUAUCCUGGGCUACACACACGCUACAAUGGUCGGUACAAUAGGUUGCCAAGCCGCGAGGCGGAGCCAAUCCAAAAAAGCCGGCCUCAGUUCAGAUUGUAGGCUGCAACUCGCCUGCAUGAAGAUGGAGUUGCUAGUAACCGCAGGUCAGCAAUACUGCGGUGAAUACGUUCCCGGGUCUU
rnacentral:rRNA from 1 species